CUACGGGAUGCACCAGUGAGGAAUAUUGCACAAUGGGGGAAACCCUGAUGCAGCAACGCCGCGUGGAGGAUGACGCAUUUCGGUGUGUAAACUCCUUUUAUGAGUCAAGAAAAUGACGGUAGCUCAUGAAUAAGCACCGGCUAACUCCGUGCCAGCAGCCGCGGUAAUACGGAGGGUGCAAGCGUUACUCGGAAUCACUGGGCGUAAAGGACGCGUAGGCGGGCUUGUAAGUCAGGUGUGAAAUCCUACAGCUUAACUGUAGAACUGCACUUGAAACUACGAGCCUAGAGUAUGGGAGGGGGAGAUGGAAUUAGUGGUGUAGGGGUAAAAUCCGUAGAUAUCACUAGGAAUACCUAAAGCGAAGGCGAUCUCCUGGAACAUUACUGACGCUAAGGCGUGAAAGCGUGGGGAGCAAACAGGAUUAGAUACCCGAGUAGUC
rnacentral:rRNA from 1 species